AUCUUGUAAAAAGAUCUUACAAAGAUCCAGGUCUUAUAAGAAGAACCUGUGUCUCUUUCAACUUGUAGCUCUGCUAUCUUCCAUGAUUCAUGACCUCUAAAUUUGUGAUAACUGAGAGAAAAAAAGAGAUUGAGAGGAAUGCCAUUUCUCAAGUGCCUUAAAGAUUGAGAAAAAUGCCAUAUCUUAAGUGCCUUGUCCUGGAAGAGACAUAUAUCACUUCCAUUUCCACUGACCAGAACCAUGUAGAUGAUCCCAACCUAAUCACAAAGGAGAGAAUGCCAAUGCAAAGAAACAAAUCAGGCCUCGGUGGCUGCAAAAACUAAAGAGACAUACAAAAUUUUCCCUGCCUUAGAAUGAAAACAGAUUGCUGUGUUGUAUUUGUAAAAUAUCUUUAAGAGCAGAUGAGUGGGACAGGCUGCCACUCUUAUAGAGAAGUGUCUUGGCCCUU